rnacentral:rRNA from 1 species
CAACGAUGAAGAACGCAGCGAAAUGCGAUACUAGUGUGAAUUGCAGAAUUCCGCGAAUCAUCGAGUCUUUGAACGCAAGUUGCGCCCGAGGCUCGUCCCGAGGGCAUGCCUGCCUGAGCGUCCGG